rnacentral:tRNA from 1 species
UGGCUCAGAAGGUAAAGUGUCUGCCUGCAAUGCAGGAGACCCAGGUUCAAUCCCUGG